CUACACUAGUAAAAGUCCCAACAUUGUCGUUUCUACUUUUUUUUCUUGUUUAUGGAAUCUAGUUACUACGUUUAUCAGAUCAGAAUUCAUUCUGAAAAGUUGUUUGAGUUUUCUUGCUUUAACGAAUUUGAUAAAGUUUGUAAAACAGAUAUUUGGUGUCAUGCUUGGGUAUAUAAUUAGUGAACGCGUAGUAUACAUUUAUUCGCGGACAGUAUUAGGUACAUACAUCCAACAUGCAGAUGGGAUUUUUAAAUACAGAGAAGGAUGGACGGGUUAGCUUCCCCUUUAUAUGAAAACAAAAAAGUGUCAUUAUAUUCUCCUUCGAAACUUCAUACGUCACAAGCAACCGUGGUCGAGCUGGAUGUCGGCAUUGGAUUGGUAAGGAAGAUUUGAGUAAAACCCAAGGAAAUAAGAAAUUCACUCCCUUUUGGUAAAAUGUAUGUAUCAGCUACAGCUCAGGAACUCUUCCAACUUCAACCACUGAUCUCGAAAUUAGCAAUAAUUACGACUAGGGCUGCGCAGAUCCUAGUCUACUAUAUAUCAGAAAAAAACCGAAUAGCAUCUUUUUCUCCGCAAGCUAUUAAUGGAAGAUAUAAAAUGACAAAGGAAAAUGUGUUGUGCAUCUUGUGAGAGUGUUGUCAAGAACUAAUACAAAAUUGAAUUUUUUUUAAAGUAGGUACGCUAUUCACCCUGGAAAGGGCACUUUUGUCCAUCUAACCGGAAUUGUAACCAUAAAGGAUCCCAACCAUAAUGCUGUGCGUGUCAAAAAAUGAAGAAGUAAAGGCACUUUUAAUAAAGUUGAGCCCUAUAAUUGAAAGGAGUAUUUGAUAUUGUAUUACAAUCAGAGAUAAAUAAGGCAAUAAAAUUGUACUUUUUUUAUUACUA